rnacentral:rRNA from 1 species
AUUGAACGCUGGCGGAAUGCUUUACACAUGCAAGUCGAACGGUAGAGGGGGCAACCCCUCGAGAGUGGCGAACGGGUGAGUAAUAUAUCGGAACGUGCCCAGUCGUGGGGGAUAACGUAGCGAAAGUUACGCUAAUACCGCAUACGAUCUAAGGAUGAAAGCGGGGGAUCGCAAGACCUCGCGCGAUUGGAGCGGACGAUAUCAGAUUAGGUAGUUGGUGGGGUAAAGGCUCACCAAGCCAACGAUCUGUAGCUGGUCUGAGAGGACGACCAGCCACACUGGGACGGAGACGCGGUCCAGACUCCUACAGGAGGCAGCAGUGGGGAAUUUUGGACAAUGGACGCAAGUCUGAUCCAGCCAUGCCGCGUGCAUGAGGAAGGCCCUCGGGUUGUAAACUGCUUUUGUACGGAACGAAAAGGUCUCUCUUAAUACGGGGGACUCAUGACGGUACCGUAAGAAUAAGCACCGGCUAACUACGUGCCAGCCGCCGCAGUAA